CAUUGAAUCUAUCAAAACCAACUCGUGAACCGAAACUGUUGGAGAAGCCGCAGCCGGGUGUUUCGCCUGUCUGCGGAUUCUCCCUCCGUGUCUAACCAACCACACCAAACACAAAAAAUACCUUCAGCUCCGCCUUCGGGUGGUAGCCUGUCGAACCAAAGACAACUCUCAACAACGGAUAUCUUGGCUCUCGCAACGAUGAAGAACGCAGCGAAAUGCGAUACGUAGUGUGAAUUGCAGAAUUCCGUGAACCAUCGAAUCUUUGAACGCAUAUUGCGCUCGCGGCUUCGGCCAAGAGCAUGUCUGCCUCAGCGUCGGCUUACCCCCUCACCCCCUCUCCCUGUUUAAUCGCAGAGCGAGCUCGGGUGGAUCUGGCAGUCUCAGCUACCUGCUCGCAGGCGGCUGGGUCUGCUGAAAAGUAGAGGCUUGAGCAAGGACCCGCUACGGGCAACAACUGGGUGAGCAGCUCGUCUGCAACUAGUUGGUGCCUGGGACCUUGCUGGGAGCCAGCAGGAAUGCGGCCUCGGCCGCAUAACUCAACUUUCGACCUGAGCUCAGGCUAGAUUACC
rnacentral:rRNA from 1 species